rnacentral:rRNA from 1 species
ACUACUAUCAGAGUGGGACUAAGCCAUGCGAGUCAACGCCGCAAGGCGUGGCAUACGGCUCAGUAACACGUAGUCAACAUGCCCAAAGGACGUGGACAACCUCGGGAAACUGAGGAUAAACCGCGAUAGGCCAAGGUUUCUGGAAUGAGCCAUGGCCGAAAUCUAUAUGGCCUUUGGAUUGGACUGCGGCCGAUCAGGCUGUUGGUGAGGUAAUGGCCCACCAAACCUGUAACCGGUACGGGCUUUGAGAGAAGGAGCCCGGAGAUGGGCACUGAGACAAGGGCCCAGGCCCUAUGGGGCGCAGCAGGCGCGAAACCUCUGCAAUAGGCGAAAGCUUGACAGGGUUACUCUGAGUGAUGCCCGCUAAGGGUAUCUUUUGGCACCUCUAAAAAUGGUGCAGAAUAAGGGGUGGGCAAGUCUGGUGUCAGCCCCCCCCGGUAAUACCAGCCCCCCCGAGUUGUCGGGACGAUAAUUGGGCCUAAAGCAUCCGUAGCCUGUUCUGCAAGUCCUCCGUUAAAUCCACCCGCUUAACGGUUGGGCUGCGGGGGAUACUGCAGAGCUAGGAGGCGGGAGAGGCAAACGGUACUCAGUGGGUAGGGGUAAAAUCCAUUGAUCUAUGAAGACCCCCCAGUGGGGAAGGCGGUUUGCCAGAACGCGCUCGACGGUGAGGGAUGAAAGCUGGGGGAGCAAACCGGAUUAGAUACCCGGGUAGUCCCAGCUGUAAACGAUGCAGACUCGGUGAUGGGUUGGCUUCGAGCCAACCCAGUGCCGCAGGGAAGCCGUUAAGUCUGCCGCCUGGGGAGUACGGU